rnacentral:rRNA from 1 species
UACAGAGGAGCCAAGCGUUGUCCGGAUUGACUGGGCGUAAAGCGCACGCAGGCGGAUGCGCGCGUGGGGUGUGAAAUCUGGCCGCUUAACGGCCAGGCGCCAUCCCAUACGGCGCGUCUGGAGUGAUGCAGAGGUCGAUGGAAUUGCCGGUGUAGUGGUGAAAUGCGCAGAUAUCGGGAAGAACACCCGUGGCGAAGGCGGCUCUCUGGAACGCAACUGACGCUGAGACGCGAAAGCGUGGGGAGCAAACAGG